rnacentral:rRNA from 1 species
CCUCGGUAGGGUGAACCUGCGGAGGGAUCAUUAACGAAUGGCCUUUGGCCUUCGACCUUGUAAACCCGUGGAAGGAAGAUUGCUUCGGCGCCUUUGGCGCCCGGUCUAUGCCGUAAAGCAUUGGUCUGAAUCAAACAUAAGUUUAAAACUUUCAACAAAGGAUCUCUUGGCUCUCGCAUCGAUGAAGAACGCAGCGAAGCGCGAAAUGUAGUGUGAAUCGCAGAAAAUUGUGAAUCAUCGAAUCUUUGAACGCACAUUGCGCCUCCUUUCCGGGAGGCAUGCCUGUCUGAGCGUCGUUUAAACCAUAGCCCCCAAAAGGGUCUGUCUUGGGCAUCGCCUUUGGGCGUAGCCUCGAAGCGAUUGGUCUGAAGAGCGGAUGAAAUCCAUUAGGACGGACCGUUCUGCGACCUUAAACUUUGAAUUUGACCUCAGAUCAGGUAGGACUACCGCCUGAACUUAAGCAUAUCAAU